GCCCUUAGAGUUUGAUCCUGGCUCAGGACGAACGCUGGCGGCGUGCCUAACACAUGCAAGUCGAGCGAGUGGAGUUCUUCGGAACAAAGCUAGCGGCGGACGGGUGAGUAACACGUGGGCAACCUGCCUCAUAGAGGGGAAUAGCCUCCCGAAAGGGAGAUUAAUACCGCAUAAGAUUGUAGCUUCGCAUGAAGUAGCAAUUAAAGGAGCAAUCCGCUAUGAGAUGGGCCCGCGGCGCAUUAGCUAGUUGGUGAGGUAACGGCUCACCAAGGCGACGAUGCGUAGCCGACCUGAGAGGGUGAUCGGCCACAUUGGGACUGAGACACGGCCCAGACUCCUACGGGAGGCAGCAGUGGGGAAUAUUGCACAAUGGGGGAAACCCUGAUGCAGCAACGCCGCGUGAGUGAUGACGGCCUUCGGGUUGUAAAGCUCUGUCUUCAGGGACGAUAAUGACGGUACCUGAGGAGGAAGCCACGGCUAACUACGUGCCAGCAGCCGCGGUAAUACGUAGGUGGCGAGCGUUGUCCGGAUUUACUGGGCGUAAAGGGAGCGUAGGCGGACUUUUAAGUGAGAUGUGAAAUACCCGGGCUCAACUUGGGUGCUGCAUUUCAAACUGGAAGUCUAGAGUGCGGGAAAGGAGAAUGGAAUUCCCUAGUGUACCGGUGAAAUGCGUAAAGAUUAGGAAAAACCCCAGUGGCGAAAGGCCAUUCCCCGGGACUGUAACUGACGCUGAGGGCUCGAAAGCGUGGGGAGCAAACAGGAUUUAGAUACCCUGGUAGUCCACGCCGUAAACGAUGAGUGCUAGGUGUUAGGCCCUUUCCGGGGCUUAGUGCCGCAGCUAACGCAUUAAGCACUCCGCCUGGGGAGUACGACCGCAAGGUUGAAACUCAAAGGAAUUGACGGGGGCCCGCACAAGCGGUGGAGCAUGUGGUUUAAUUCGAAGCAACGCGAAGAACCUUACCAGGUCUUGACAUCCCAGUGACCGCUCUAGAGAUAGAGUUUUUCUUCGGAACACUGGUGACAGGUGGUGCAUGGUUGUCGUCAGCUCGUGUCGUGAGAUGUUGGGUUAAGUCCCGCAACGAGCGCAACCCUUAUUGUUAGUUGCCAUCAUUCAGUUGGGCACUCUAGCGAGACUGCCGGUAAUAAACCGGAGGAAGGUGGGGAUGACGUCAAAUCAUCAUGCCCCUUAUGACCUGGGCUACACACGUGCUACAAUGGUUGGUACAAAGAGAAGCGAAGCGGUGACGUGGAGCAAACCUCAUAAAGCCAAUCUCAGUUCGGAUUGUAGGCUGCAACUCGCCUACAUGAAGUUGGAAUCGCUAGUAAUCGCGAAUCAGAAUGUCGCGGUGAAUACGUUCCCGGGCCUUGCACACAAAGCCCGUCA
rnacentral:rRNA from 1 species